rnacentral:rRNA from 1 species
UACGUAGGGAGCAGGCGUUGUCCGGAAUCAUUGGGCGUAAAGCGCGCGUAGGCGGCCCUGUAAGUCCGUUGUGAAAGUCAAAGGCUCAACCUUUGAAAGCCGAUGGAUACUGCAGGGCUAGAGUCCGGAAGAGGCGAGUGGAAUUCCUGGUGUAGCGGUGGAAUGCGCAGAUAUCAGGAGGAACACCGGUGGCGAAGGCGGGUCUCUGGGCAGUAACUGACGCUGAGGAGCGAAAGCGUAGGGAGCGAACAGG